rnacentral:rRNA from 1 species
UGAGUACGAGAUGCUACGGCGUCGAAGCAGUCUAGGUCAUACCUCCAAGAAAAGUUUGCACUGUCAUAAACAAAGAAUGCCUGUACCAUAACCGACACAGGUGGGUAGGUAGAGUAUACUAAGGGGCGCGAGAUAACUCUCUCUAAGGAACUCGGCAAAAUGACUCCGUAACUUCGGGAGAAGGAGUGCCUUAUUUUUAAGGUUGCAAUAACAAGAUCCAAGCAACUGUUUACCAAAAACACAGGUCUCCGCUAAGUCGUAAGACGAUGUAUGGGGGCUGACGCCUGCCCAGUGCCAGAAGGUUAAAGAAGUUGGUUAGCAUUUGCGAAGCUGAUAACUGAAGCCCUGGUGAACGGCGGCCGUAACUAUAACGGUCCUAAGGUAGCGAAAUUCCUUGUCGGGUAAGUUCCGACCCGCACGAAAGGCGUAAUGAUUUGGAUACUGUCUCGGAGAGGGGCUCGGUGAAAUAGACUUGUCUGUGAAGAUGCGGACUACCUGCACCUGGACAGAAAGACCCUAUGAAGCUUUACUGUAACUUGAGAUUGAAAUUGGACUUUAUUUGCGCAGUAUAGGUGGGAGGCGUUGAGAAUAAUCUUGCGGGAUUAUCGGAGCCAUCAGUGAGAUACCACUCUUGUAAUGUUAGAUUUCUAACUUUGUAUCAUUAUCUGGUCAAAGAACAGUUUCAGGCGGGCAGUUUGACUGGGGCGGUCGCCUCCCAAAGGGUAACGGAGGCGCACAAAGGUUUCCUCUGAACGGGUAGAAAUCGUAUCUAGAGUGUAAAGGCAUAAGGAAGCUUGACUGUGAGACCUACAAGUCGAGCAGGGACGAAAGUCGGUCUUAGUGAUCUGACGGUGCUGAGUGGAAAGGCCGUCACUCAACGGAUAAAAGUUACUCUAGGAUAACAGGCUGAUCUCCCCCAAGAGUUCACAUCGACGGGGAGGUUUGGCACCUCGAUGUCGGCUCAUCGCAUCCUGGGGCGGUAGUACGUCCCAAGGGUUGGGCUGUUCGCCCAUGAAAGCGGUACGCGAGCUGGGUUCAGAACGUCGUGAGACAGUUCGGUCCAUAUCCGGUGUAGGCGUUGGAAUAUUGAAAGGAGCCUUCUCUAGUACGAGAGGACCGAGAAGGACAUACCUCUGGUGUGCCAGUUAUCGUGCCAACGGUAAACGCUGGGUAGCUAUGUAUGGAGUGGAUAACCGCUGAAAGCAUCUAAGUGGGAAGCCCACCUUAAGAUAAGUAUUCU